rnacentral:rRNA from 1 species
AUGCAAGUCGAACGGUAGCACAGAGAGCUUGCUCUCGGGUGACGAGUGGCGGACGGGUGAGUAAUGUCUGGGAAACUGCCUGAUGGAGGGGGAUAACUACUGGAAACGGUAGCUAAUACCGCAUAACGUCGCAAGACCAAAGAGGGGGACCUUCGGGCCUCUUGCCAUCAGAUGUGCCCAGAUGGGAUUAGCCAGCUGGUGAGGUAAUGGCUCACCAGGGCGACGAUCCCUAGCUGGUCUGAGAGGAUGACCAGCCACACUGGAACUGAGACACGGUCCAGACUCCUACGGGAGGCAGCAGUGGGGAAUAUUGCACAAUGGGCGCAAGCCUGAUGCAGCCAUGCCGCGUGUGUGAAGAAGGCCUUCGGGUUGUAAAGCACUUUCAGCGAGGAGGAAGGCAUUAAGGUUAAUAACCUUAUUGAUUGACGUUACUCGCAGAAGAAGCACCGGCUAACUCCGUGCCAGCAGCCGCGGUAAUACGGAGGGUGCAAGCGUUAAUCGGAAUUACUGGGCGUAAAGCGCACGCAGGCGGUCUGUCAAGUCGGAUGUGAAAUCCCCGGGCUCAACCUGGGAACUGCAUUCGAAACUGGCAGGCUUGAGUCUCGUAGAGGGGGGUAGAAUUCCAGGUGUAGCGGUGAAAUGCGUAGAGAUCUGGAGGAAUACCGGUGGC